rnacentral:lncRNA from 1 species
UAAGUGUCAAGACCUUUCCUGAAGUUAUUUUCAAGCAUAUUUUUCCUAUUUCUUCUACCUUAGCAGUAGCGGAGUUAUCCAUAUAGAUUAUUUCUUUUACUUGAGCCAGAGCGAAUGACAAAAACAACUUUUUGUUGGCACAUACAUGGUGGGUGGCACCAAAAUCUAUCCACCAUUCGCGAGGAUUCCCCGCCAAGUUACAUUCGGAGAACAUAUCACACAUAUCAU